UACAGAGGGUGCAAGCGUUAAUCGGAUUUACUGGGCGUAAAGCGUGCGCAGGCGGUUGUGCAAGACAGAUGUGAAAACCCCGGGCUCAACCUGGGAACUGCAUUUGUGACUGCACGGCUAGAGUGCGGCAGAGGGAGAUGGAAUUCCGCGUGUAGCAGUGAAAUGCGUAGAUAUGCGGAGGAACACCGAUGGCGAAGGCAGCUCGCUGGGACGUUACUGACGCUGAGACGCGAAAGCGUGGGGAGCAAACAGG
rnacentral:rRNA from 1 species